UUAGAUACCCUGGUAGUCCACGCCGUAAACGAUGUCUACUAGUUGUCGGUGGUAUUGUACUGUUGGUAAUGCAGCUAACGCGAUAAGUAGUCCGCCUCGGGAGUACGGCCGCAAGCUUAAAACUCAAAUGAAUUGACGGGGAGCCCGCACAAGCGGUGGAGCAUGUGGUAUAUUUCGAAGCAACGCGAAGAACCUUACCUGGCCUUGACAUCGUCCGAACUUUCUAGAGAUAGAUUGGUGCCUUCGGGAGCGCAGAGACAGGUUAUGCACGGCUGUCGUCAGCUCGUCUCGUGAGAUGCUGGGUUAAGUUAGGCAACGAGCGCACACCUUGUCAUCAGGCAUCAGCACAUAAUGGUGGGCACUCUGGUGAGCCUGCCGGCGUCAAACCGGAGGAAGGUGGGGAUGUCGUCAAGUCAUCAUGGCCUUCUCGUCCAGGGCCACACACGUAUUACAACGGUGCAUGCAGUCGGUUCCCAAACCAAGAGGAGGAGCUACUGUGUGAAAGUACAUCGCAGUCUGGAUGGGAGUAUGCCACUCGUUUCCCCGAAGUGGGAAUCCGUAGUAAUCGUGAAUCAGAACGGCCUAUCGAACACGUCCGGGCAGAUUCUUCACUCCGCCGCUCCCGUCCAUGGGAGUGGCAGGGAACAGCAAGCGUUACCUUAACCCUCUGGAGGGCCAUCUCCACGGAGUGAUUCCUGCGUGCGAUGAAGUCCAGGCACGGUAUCCA
rnacentral:rRNA from 1 species